rnacentral:lncRNA from 1 species
CUUGCUUUCAAUGAAGCAUGGACAUCGGGGGAUGGGAGAAAUGGUCAGAGCAAGGGGAGAGACUCAACCCUGCUGCCGAAGGCCCAUCUGGACAUAAGUUCAUUUGGAAUCUCCUUGCUUGGUCAGAGAGAAAAGCAGAUAGCAGGAGACUUUCCAGAUCACUCUUCUCAGUCUCAGCCUUCAAAGGAGCAGACCCAGCUGUGAGGACACAGCAUUUCCCAGAGGAGGCCAGGAGGCAGGGACUGAGGUCAGGCAAACCAAGGAGGGAGGCGCAUAUACCCUGGG